AUUAAUAAUUUUUAUGUAUUUAAUUCUAGUUCAUUGUGUGUGUGUAUAUAUAUAUACACACACAUACCACCUCUUCUUUAUCCAUUCAUCUGUUGUUAGACAUUUAGGUUGCUUCCAUGUCUCAACUAUUAAAUUACAGUGUUUUGAAAAUACACUGUUUACAUUUGUAUAAUUUUUAAAGUAAGGCCUCAUUUAAAGGUAUAGUUUGUAUUCUGUUUUCUACUAGAUUAAAAUUGUUAAACAUUACUCCCAUUCAGCUUUUCUUUGACAAGCUAUGUAGUGGUUUUAGUUAUGGCCUCUGGAGUCAGUCAGCCUGAGUGGUAGCUCCGUCUCUUACAACUCUGUCUGGAUGUGGUAGGCACACUGAGGGCCCCAUGCACUCCACUGCCCUCCCGCCUCCAUCCCGAAAGCUGUAUAGGUCCUAACCUCUAGAAUCUGUGACUGUCACCUUAACAUGAGAAAAGACUUUGGAGAUGUGGUUAAGAAUCUUGAGAUGGGGAAAAUAUCCUGAUUUUCGGAUGAGCCCAAUGUAAUCACAAGUGUCCUCAUAAGAGAGAGACAGGAGGGUCAAAGUCAGAAAGCAGCAAUCAUAGUGUUGAGGGGACAUGAGCCAAGGAAAAUGGGAGGCCUCUGGAUGCUAGAAAAAGCAAGGAAAUGGAUUCUUUGCUGGAGCCUCCAGAAGAAACAAAGCCUUGCCAGCCCAUUUUAGAUUUCUUACCUCUAGAAUUGUAAGAUAAUACAUUUGUGUUGUUUUAAACCACUCAGUUUGUGGUCAUUUGUUACAGCAGCAAUAGGAAACUAAUAUACUGGGCAAAUCCCUACCCUGUACAAGCCUGACUUUCCUCAUCUGUUAUAUGGGGAAAAUAGUAGUCCUUGUUUGACCAUGUAGUUAAAAGGAUUAAAUGAGGUAAAAUAUAGAAAGUGCCUAGCAUGGUACCUGAUGUGUGGCUCAAUAAAUGUCAGCUAUUGCAAUCAAUAUAUUAUCCUUCAAGAAGACUUAAAUGUUAGUGUGGAAUGUACUUUUUACUUGAUAGAAAGAUACUUAUGUUAAAUGAGAAAGUAAGUACACUUUAUAGUAUAAUGUGUGGUAUGUGAUGUAAUAGUAUGGUGAGAAAGAGUAUGAAUAAAGAUGUCUCAAAUAGGAAAAUCUAUUCUAGGGAGUACAAAUAGGAACAGAUUUUUGAUAGAGCUCUUUAGCAAUGUAUUUCAUAUUUUUACUGCUACAAAUUGGUAUCAUAGAAGUAUUCACUGUAUACAGAGAUGAUGAUAGAAGUAUUUUUAAAAACUUGGAGAUGACCAUUAUGUUUUGAGAAUGGAAUUGUUUCAGUUAAAGUACAAUGGAAUGUCAUGCAGUGAAUAAAACAAUACCUUAUAACACUGUAUCAUGAUAUGAGGAAAAGAUUCCUGAGAUUUAAAAAGAGAGUACAUCACUAAAUAAUUAUGAACCUAAUUGUCUUUGUGUGUACUUCAUAACACACUCAUUCAGUAUACAUAAAAAGUUGACAGGUCUUUAACUGAGUAUGUGAUUUUCUUUGGAUGUAAGAUUAUUAAUAAUUUUAGAGUUUUCUCAUUUAUAAAAAUAAAAUUUUCUGAAAUACUCAUAUAGUUGUCAUGUAUAUCAUAAUAAAAACAAGAGAUUCAUAUCAUAUGCAUAAAUUCUACUCUAGUACCCUUUAAGUAACAUAGGUAUAUUCUUC